GAGCGGCCGUCGGUGCAGA
rnacentral:snRNA from 1 species